AAUAUUUGACAAUGGGCGAAAGCCUGAUCCAGCCAUGCCGCGUGUGUGAAGAAGGNCUNNGGAUUNUNAAUCACUUUAAGUAGNNNNNAAUGGCAGUAAAUUAAUACCUUGCUAUUUUGACGUUACCUACAGUAUAAGCAUCGGCUAACUCCGAGCCAGCAUCCGCGGUAAUACGAAUGGUGCAAGCGUUAAUCGGAGUUACUGGGCGUAAAGCGAGCGUAGGUGGUUCGUUAAGUUGGAAGUGAAAGCCCCGGGCUCAACCUGGGAACUGCUUUCAAAACUGGCAAGCUAGAGUAUGGCAGAGGGUGGUGGAAUUUCCUGUGUAGCGGUGAAAUGCGUAGAUAUAGGAAGGAACACCAGUGGCGAAGGCGACCACCUGGGCUAAUACUGACACUGAGGUGCGAAAGCGUGGGGAGCAAAC
rnacentral:rRNA from 1 species